rnacentral:lncRNA from 1 species
UUUUGAUUUAUAUAAUUGAUAUAAAUCAAGACAUCGUGUUAUUUCUGAUUAAUUUUUUCGAAUAACUUUAUUAGGUGUUUGAGAACCUUUGGUGACCCCAUAGUUUAAGUGUCUUUAAAAAGUACACCAGUGAGCAUGGUCGUUACAUACAAACUUCACAACUAAAUUGUCCAGUCAAUGGAUGAAUUUAAUGUGUCAAUCAAUGGCCACAACCACACUGUUUUGAAUUUCAUUCUAAACAAUAUUUAUAGAUGUUAGUACUUAACAGAAAGUUUAAACCAGUCGUCAUGAUGUAGGGGUAUAAUUCUUGGAUCUAUAUAUUAUAUAUAUAUAUAUAUAUAUAUUUUAAAAGUCUUGAGUUUUAUUCUGGCAUGAUUUGACAUAUCCGACAAGAUGUAACAGAACAAUGGAAAGCAUGCAGAACAAAAAGACUCCAGCAAGGCAGCUGCGGUGAUCUGGUACUAUAUGGAUCAUGCAAAAAAAACAAAACAUCAAAAACGAUUUGUUUAUUUUAACGCAGUUUUUAGUCAAAGUUUAGCAAGACGGACACAAGUUAAGGUGAACACAUAGAGUUAUCCCUCUUUGCAUUGGGUCUCUCCUUUAAUACAUAAGACUCAUUAGUUAUUAAUAAGUUAAAAUUGAGAAUGGAAAUGGGGAAUGUGCCAAAGAGACAACACACCCAUAGAGCAGACAACGCAGAAGGUCACCAACAGGUCUUCAAUGCAACGAGAAAUUCUCGCACCCGGAGGCGUCCUUCAAUUAAUAAGUAUGUAUGUUAGAUUGCAUGUAUUGUUUGUGUAGGUAUUGCAUUAACUUUAUGAUUCAGUGUAUAAUUGAUUAAUAUGCUCUCUGUGGAUCCUUUUAUAAGGUAUAAAGACAUUUGAUUUGAUUUGAUUUGAUAUAUUAUAAUACAUGUACAUGCAGUUGUGCCUAUUUGAAAAUACUGUCAAUGAGGACAUUGUUUUAUGUUGUACACACAUUUGAUGAUAGGAUAUGAUUUGAUAGCAUCUAUUAUACAUGUACCAGUUAUCUGCUUAUAU